AUGCAGUCGAGCGGCAGCGCAGUAAGUUUACUUAUGAGGUGGCGAGCGGCGGACGGGUGAGUAAUGCCUAGGGAUCUGCCCAGUCGAGGGGGAUAACAGUUGGAAACGACUGCUAAUACCGCAUACGCCCUACGGGGGAAAGAGGGGGACCUUCGGGCCUCUCGCGAUUGGAUGAACCUAGGUGGGAUUAGCUAGUUGGUGAGGUAAUGGCUCACCAAGGCGACGAUCCCUAGCUGUUCUGAGAGGAUGAUCAGCCACACUGGGACUGAGACACGGCCCAGACUCCUACGGGAGGCAGCAGUGGGGAAUAUUGCACAAUGGGGGAAACCCUGAUGCAGCCAUGCCGCGUGUGUGAAGAAGGCCUUCGGGUUGUAAAGCACUUUCAGUAGGGAGGAAAGGGUGAGUCUUAAUACGGCUCAUCUGUGACGUUACCUACAGAAGAAGGACCGGCUAACUCCGUGCCAGCAGCCGCGGUAAUACGGAGGGUCCGAGCGUUAAUCGGAAUUACUGGGCGUAAAGCGUGCGCAGGCGGUUUGUUAAGCGAGAUGUGAAAGCCCUGGGCUCAACCUAGGAAUAGCAUUUCGAACUGGCGAACUAGAGUCUUGUAGAGGGGGGUAGAAUUCCAGGUGUAGCGGUGAAAUGCGUAGAGAUCUGGAGGAAUACCGGUGGCGAAGGCGGCCCCCUGGACAAGACUGACGCUCAUGCACGAAGCG
rnacentral:rRNA from 1 species